rnacentral:rRNA from 1 species
UACGUAGGGCGCAAGCGUUGUCCGGAAUCAUUGGGCGUAAAGAGCUCGUAGGCGGCCUGUUGCGUCCGCUGUGAAAUCCCGGGGCUUAACCCCGGGCGUGCAGUGGACUACGGGCUGGCUGGAGGCAGGCAGGGGAGAACGGAAUUCCCGGUGAUAGCGGUGAAAUGCGCAGAUAUCGGGAGGAACACCGGUGGCGAAGGCGGUUCUCUGGGCCUGUACUGACGCUGAGGAGCGAAGCGUGGGAGCGAACAGG